GGACCUGACUGCUAUCGGAUUGAUACUAAGCCAUGCGAGUCAUUGUAGCAAUACAAGGCAUACGGCUCAGUAACGCGUAGUCAACCUAACCUAUGGACGGGAAUAACCUCGGGAAACUGGGAAUAAUGCCCGAUAGAACAUUAUGCCUGGAAUGGUUUAUGUUCCAAAUGAUUUAUCGCCGUAGGAUGGGACUGCGGCCUAUCAGUUUGUUGGUGAGGUAAUGGCCCACCAAGACUAUUACAGGUACGGGCUCUGAGAGGAGUAGCCCGGAGAUGGGUACUGAGACACGGACCCAGGCCCUAUGGGGCGCAGCAGGCGAGAAAACUUUGCAAUGUGCGAAAGCACGACAAGGUUAAUCCGAGUGGUUUCUGCUAAAGAAACCUUUUGUCAGUCCUAGAAACACUGAUGAAUAAGGGGUGGGCAAGUUCUGGUGU
rnacentral:rRNA from 1 species